AAAAUCCACUUCUAUAAUUUUCCAGUGUGCUGAGCCUGGGAGGGUCUGAGUGCCCAUGGGGUGCUUUGGGGAUGAAAAGUGCAUGAUUAAUCCAGGCAGUGAUUGUUUCCUUCCUUUCAGAGGAAUGUAGCAUUGACGUUCAGAAAGUGCCACUGAAACACAAGGUAAAAACCCACACGAAGAAGGAUCACGUGAAGGAAGAUGAGGACAGCAGCCAGACUCACGAUAAUAGUAUUCCAAAUAACAUCCUGGAGGCAGUUUCACAAUUGUGAGCACUGCCAUGGACCUAGAUGUAGCUGCAGGAAACAUGGAUUUGGGUUUGUUUUAAAUCCCAUGAAUUGGCGUCCAGGCUCUGCAACUAGCAAGUAUGAUCUCUUACUGAAUAGGAGCAUAGCCACAGGAGAGAAAAGAUUAAGGGAAUCAAAGGAAUACAUUUUUUCAUUUCACUCCUUUCUUAUUACAGUAGAUUAAAAGAAAAAAGUGAGUUUUGUUCAACAUUCAAUUUUGAGGACAAUUAAAUAAGCCAAAAACAUUGUUCAGAAUUAGAGCACUGAAUAAAGGAUUUCAAAAACACAGUGUGGGGUUCAUGGUGGGAUUUUUAUUUCCUUUUAAGAUGAGCCAUAUACAGCUGUAUGAGAUCUAUUGUCCUCUGUCCCACUGAAGAAAUAGUUUCUUUCUAAAGUGUCCAAUCUGGUAAGACACAUAGGUUCUUUAAAAGCUUAAAAAAAGAAGGAAAGCACUCAAACUCUCUUCUGGUUCAAAUGGCAAUUAUCUGAGAAGCAGCAAAGAAACAGGAAUACAUGAGUAAAUGAAAUAGCUUUUGAUGGCCUGGCUAUGAAUGACAGUAGGAUUUGUCCCCUUUGGUAAUGACAUGCAGCAGCAAGCAGUAUGCAUCGGCAAGACAGAAGUCAGCCCUGACUGUCUGGUACAACAGCAGUGAUCUUUCACAGCAUAGAUGGUUAUUACAAGCCUGCUCAGGGGAAACCACUUUCUUCUCUAAUGGAUGGAGGAAUGUUCCUUGAUAUUGAGGCAAAAGGGGACAUAAUUUAAAGAAAACUAAACCUUUGAAAGCUUCCUUGUAACUGUGGUUCUGGAAAGUCUCUUUUCCUUCUGUUCUGCAGGAACUGUCAAACACCAAGAAUUCCACCAUCAUUUUUGGGCCCCAUCAAGACAAAGGCUAACAAAAGAGGGAGGCUAAAAGACCAACUCUAGUUUACAAUUCCACCUUUCAAACUCAGCAUCAACUGAAGGAAGGUUUUUCAAAAUAAAAAAAACCCCACAGACUAAGUAUGUAGAGUCUGAGAAAUAAAAACCACUGAUCAUUAUAGCUUGUGUUCUGCUGUCAUUCAUUCUUCAGGGAAUCCUGUGCUCCAGGCAGAUCUGGCAAAACAGACAACCAAGAGAAGAACUUUGUGUGAUGGAGAACAUGGAAUGCUUCAGGCAGCACUGCAGCACCAAUAGCCCUCAAAUUUCCCAGGAUGUGAGAAAAGGGUACCAAGAAUGACUGAUGGAUCCAUCAUGAACUCGCACAUGCCAGCAGACACGUGUCUCAUGUGGCCUCACAGAAAAACUCACAUGAGAAGGAUCUUGAGUACCCCAAAAGAGCAAGGAAGGAUGCAUGUGUGAUCGAGAAACUAUCAGGUAGCAUGUGUUAGAUUUUGUGAUUUGACAGGUAAAUCUAGUCCCAUUUGCCUCUUGCUUUCCUCUUCUCUGAGGAAAGACAAAAAGUAAAACAUGGUAAAUCUGCCAGUGACAAUCCCAUA